rnacentral:rRNA from 1 species
GAACGGCAGCACGAGAGAGCUUGCUCUCUUGGUGGCGAGUGGCGGACGGGUGAGUAAUAUAUCGGAACGUGCCCAGUAGCGGGGGAUAACUACUCGAAAGAGUGGCUAAUACCGCAUACGCCCUACGGGGGAAAGGGGGGGAUUCUUCGGAACCUCUCACUAUUGGAGCGGCCGAUAUCGGAUUAGCUAGUUGGUGGGGUAAAGGCUCACCAAGGCAACGAUCCGUAGCUGGUUUGAGAGGACGACCAGCCACACUGGGACUGAGACACGGCCCAGACUCCUACGGGAGGCAGCAGUGGGGAAUUUUGGACAAUGGGGGAAACCCUGAUCCAGCCAUCCCGCGUGUAUGAUGAAGGCCUUCGGGUUGUAAAGUACUUUUGGCAGAGAAGAAAAGGUAUCUCCUAAUACGAGAUACUGCUGACGGUAUCUGCAGAAUAAGCACCGGCUAACUACGUGCCAGCAGCCGCGGUAAUACGUAGGGUGCAAGCGUUAAUCGGAAUUACUGGGCGUAAAGCGUGUGUAGGCGGUUCGGAAAGAAAGAUGUGAAAUCCCAGGGCUCAACCUUGGAACUGCAUUUUUAACUGCCGAGCUAGAGUAUGUCAGAGGGGGGUAGAAUUCCACGUGUAGCAGUGAAAUGCGUAGAUAUGUGGAGGAAUACCGAUGGCGAAGGCAGCCCCCUGGGAUAAUACUGACGCUCAGACACGAAAGCGUGGGGGUGCAAACAGGAUUAGAUACCCUGGUAGUCCACGCCCUAAACGAUGUCAACUAGCUGUUGGGGCCGUUAGGCCUUAGUAGCGCAGCUAACGCGUGAAGUUGACCGCCUGGGGAGUACGGUCGCAAGAUAAACC